AAUGCUGCUUGGAAACUUUCCUGGACUGAAAUCUCCAUCAGGGGAGCCAGGUGGGGCUAAGCCCCUCCAGGGUAAGUGGAAGUUGGUGGACCCCAGCACAUGUGAUCCGUUCCUGGCACAUGUCUCCGGACCACCUGCUUGUCUUGGGGAGACCCUCCCGCCGAGCAGCCAACUCGGGGGGAGAGGCUGGGGUCCCGGUUUCUCCAGGGCAGCUCAGCAGUUUUUGCUAUGUGUCUUUCAUUUCAGAUGGAUCGUGCCUAGGGUGAUGCUUCCUGGGAUCCAUCCUGUUUGGUAUUUAAAAGGUAGAUUUUCCUUCUAUGGUUACGGGUUUGGUGAUUAAUCAUAGAGGAAAAUCCACAUUUUCAGUAUCAAAUGCUGCUUUGGAGACGUGAUCGGGACUGACGCGUGGGCAGGGGCAGGAGGUAGGGCUGAGCCCCCAACCUGGGUUAGUGGAAAGGUGGUGGGCUGCGGAGCAUGUGCUUCCUUCGCGUCAUAUGUCUGCUGACCAUCACCUUUAGAGCCCUCUCGCUGAGGAACGCACCAGCCAAGGAGGCGUGGCGUGUGGCCGCAGCUCUGCCACAGGACUGGACACAGCUUCACUGGCCGUCUUGCUUCCAUUUUCGGUAAACUACGCACGCAGGUCCUUUCCAGAACUCCGUCUUUCUUUGGUAUUUAAAAGGUGGAUAUUCCUUCUAUGUUUACGUGAUUCAUAGAUAAUCAUAGAGGAAAAUCCAUGUUUUCAGUAUCAAAUGCUACUCUGGAAAUGUUUCUGGAAGAGACUGGAGGGCCAGGCCCGCAUCCCAGGCCUCCGGGCCUGGGCAGGUGGAAGGUUGGUGGGUGGAUGGCAUGCCGUGUCUUAGUUAAGGACGGACACCUGGGGUUCAUCCAUACUCGGGAACCAUCUCUGGCCGAGCAGCCCACUCGGUAAGAUGCACGUUGUGGGUCUCUCGUCCAUCCAUCCACGGAGGCUUGUCUACCCGACGUGACUUUCAUGUUUGAUGACUGAAGCACAGAUUGGAAUUCUCCUGGACAGAAUCCUUCUUUGGUAUUUAAAAGGUAGAUUCUCCUUCUAUGAGUACAUUAUUUACGAUUAAUCAUAGAGGAAAAUCCACGUUUUCAGUAUCAAAUGCUGCUUGGAAACCUCGGAGGAUGCGACAUCGCCAUCAAAGAAGGAAGGGGGUGGUCAGGGGUCUCCUGUGCUCUGUGUGAGGUGUGCCAUUCAGCUGACUUGCCCUCGGUCUUGUGCAGUCCUGAGACUGCUCUCGGGAUUACUUUGAGUCUGAAUGAAUUGUGUUCUCUGUGUGUUUGCCAUGUUUAUAUAGCAUUUUCUAGAGCCUCCUCUUCUGCAGGAAUCUUACCUGAGGGUCAGCGUUAGGAGGGGGCCCUGGUGGAGGUACCACUUCCGGGAUGCAGGAUUCACCCACGGCCAGGAACUCUGCCCACAGCUCCGUGUUGCCUGCCCACUAACCCCGCCUGUCCAAUCUGUCUGUCUUAGACUCACUCCUGGAGCAGAGGCCAGCCCUGCCGCAAUGUGAGCGGCUUUCCUCCUGGUAGUGGUGUUUGCUCAAAGAGAGAUUAUCCUUCUUGGUUUUGCUUUGAUUGUCAUUAACAUGCAUAGGGCAAUCUCUCUGAGAAGCGAGUGCCUGCCUGGGAGGGCUUCUUGGAGAAUCAGAGGUCAGGACCACCACAGGGUGGGCAAAUGCAUGCUGACCACUCUGUAUGUGCCUCUGUCUUGCUGUCUGUGACCUGGUCUCUUCUCUUCAUCUCCUGCAUCCUCCCAAGAACUUGUCGGGAGAGAUGAUGGCUUUGAAGAGGAUGCGGUGGUUUUCUGUUCAGUGUGGGAUGUGGUGUCUUCCUUGGUGGGAAGACUGCUUAGUGUGAUGCUGAAGCUGCCAUGAGCUGUCACUCUGGCCAGUGUCCCCAGCCACGAUGCCAGGCUCUGGAAGGAGACCUCAAGGUCAGUGUGUCUCCCAGCUAUGAGGAAAGAAGGCUCAACAGCAAGUCAGGGUCUGGCUCAUCCUUGACUCAUCUGGUCUACCCCAUGGACUGUAUCCCGCCAGGCUCCUCUGUCCGUGGAAUUCUCCAGGCAAGAGGACUGGAGUGGGUUGCAUUCUCUUCUCCAGGGGAUCUUCCUGACCCAGCAAUUGAACCCUCGGCUCCUGCAUCUCCCACAUCGCAGGCAGAUUCUUUACUGUCUGAGCUACCAGGGAAGCCCCCACCCACUCUACACACUCAGGCUAUUCUUGGGCUGACUUCUGGGCUUAAAUGUCCUUUUGAGGGAAGGGAGUGGGUGUGGCUGCUAGUCUAGAGGAAAGGAACCGGGUAGCCCUGAGUGCCAUAUUUUAUGGUACUUGCCCUGGGACCAGAAGCCCAGUGUUCUCUUAGUCCAUAGUCCUCCUCUUGGCCUCAUAGCUAGUUGUGAUGGGAGGACCCUGGGAUGUCUGAUGACAUUAUCUGUUUCAUUGGAGAGAGUUGGCCCCUGGGCAUUCCUUUGUCCUUUAGUGAAUCUUGCCCUAGAUGAGUGCUUUUGAGUGGCAGCUCAGGUGACUUUCUGGGCAGUGUCAGCUGCAGGUGGAGGGAUGCUGACCGUAGCGGUGCCGCACGAUUUGUGAGUGAGGAGCAGGUCAUGGACUGUGUUGCUUUCCUCUUUUGCUUUUGCUCUUUAGUGAUGCAUGUGAUGUGUCUUCUAACCCCUGGCAGCGCCCCUGUCACCAGAGCAGCUUCCUGGAGGGAAAGACUUUGGGUGGAAGGGCGGUUUCGCAGGCUCUGAAGGACUGUUGGUCAUCUGACGCCUGCUGUCGGGUUCUGCAGGACAGCUCUGGCUUUGGGAGGCAGUCCUGUCUUGGAGAGAUGCUGGGGAGCCCAGCCACCCCAGGGCCGGGUCUCAGUGCUCAGGGGCGGGGUUGCCACCGGCUCCUCCCCCUUGGUCUCGGGGCCUGCAGGAGGCGAGCCCCCUCUGGGGCAGCUGCGGCGUGGUCCUCACUGGAGCUGCCCUUUGGUACUUGAAGAGAGGAUACCCUUUGUAUGUUCACUUAAUUAAUGGCGAAUAUACAGAGGGAGACUCUUAUUUGCGUAUCAAACUCUGACUGGGAAGGCGCUCGGACCCAGCUCCACCUUCUGGAUGGAGACCCUGUUGUCAGCCCCUCGCAGGUAUGUCCUUGAUUCCCAGCCCCAGAUGUGGGCUCUGGCCAUGAUGUCAGCCGCAGGUCCUCCUCUGGGGCACUCCCCAGAGGCCGCGCCAGGCUGGUGGAGGACAGCGGUGGCCUUCUGUGCAUGCUGUCUGUUGUCUGUGCUGAGUCUAAUGGUGAUUUGCUCUUUUAAAGGCACGUGGACCUACCCUUUCUCACUACCGAGUCCCACCCUGGAGACUUCCUGGUACCGUGUCUAACUCAGAAGAGAGACCUUGAUGUCAGACCCUUGUGAAGGAGACGCGUGAGUGAUGGUGGACCACAGGGCUCUGGCUUUAUUUAUGAUGAUUCCAAGCAGGAUGGACCAACACCUGCGAGUCCAUCCCAGAAGGCUUCCUAGAGGUGGCGCUCACUCAGGGGAAGAGGCUGAAGUUUCCUGGCCAAGACUCCUCUUCGAUGUUCAGGACAGCACCCUCCUGCUCACGGUCCCCAGGAUGAAUCUGUAAGAACUCUUUCUGUUUGUGAUUCGUGGUUCCAGUCCUGCCUGGAGAGAGUAUCCUCCGCAGGAAGCACCCAGCUCUGGGGAGGAGCAUGGGAGCCAUCGCCCUGGGCCAGGAUGAUGGCUAGAAGACGAGGGCUCUGGCUCUGUGUUUGUGGAGACAUCUCUUGAGGUGUGUAACCAUCCACUUGGUGUACAGCCUGACCACCGUGGGGGUCCCCAGGCCCUGAGGCCAGCAUCGGGGAAGACGUAUUGCCACGGCCCCGUCUGCGAGAGGGCCUCCUUGGGGUUGAGGCUGCCGUGGGGAGCUGGUCGUGGUCUGCUGAAUCCAUUUCUCUGUGGUACGUGGAGUUAGACUCCUUUUCAAUGUCGACUCUCCUCGCACGGCUUCCUGGUGUGAUGCCAACCUCUGGUAGGGCAUGGGGAGUGUGGGGAGGAGGCCCACGUGGGAGGUAUGAUGGUGACCAUGGGGCCUUGACUUCAUCCAUGAUGUAGAUUCACCCAGUCCCCUCACCCUGGGUGCAUAGUCAGGACUUCCUGGAGGAGGUGUCCAUGCUGGUUCCACCUCCAGCAUCAUUCUGCAGAAAGCAAGAAGCUAGCUGAGCUCUGGGCAUGCUCUGGAAGGCCGUGGGGUUGAUCUUUUCAGGAAUAAGCCCUGGUUUGGAGUGAUUCCUGAAAAUAACAUUGAUGUCAGUGAAGGGGCACUGGCUUCUGCCCAUCCCCAAGCUGAGAUGGAGAGCGGUCCAGCAGGCAUACACCUGGCAGGCGGUGUCUGCCCCCUGGCCUGCUGAUUCUGCAUCCCCCACCCCUUCCCUAGGAUGUUUCCUGGGAGACAAGGCCCGCUCUGUGAACAGUAGCGAUGGACCUGCCCAAUGCUACUACUGUUUGGUACUUAAAGCGAGGUUGCCCUUUGUAUAUUCGGUUUUUUGACGCAGAAUAUACAAGGGCAAGCUCUCUGUGAGUAUCAAACCCUGGACCCAGUCCACAUACAGCAAGGGAUUCGGUACGUGUGUGCAUGACCGUGUGUCCAGUGGUGUGUGCAAAUGGCUUCAGGGUCACCACUUGGCAGAGGUGACAUCUCAGGCACACGGCUGACUUUAGAGAAGUUGAUGGGCCCUGGGGAGUGACACCCCUCCUGGUUCUGCGUGGGGUGGGAAUGGGGGCGGUCAGGAGGCAUGCACUCUGUGUGUCCGACCCGGGUCCUAAGACGGCCAGGUUGGUCCCGGUGUGGGUGGUGGCCGCAUCGUCACUGCACGUGUAUGCUGGGUGCCCGUGAACUGAUGCACUAACCCUCAGCAUCUAAUUUGUCCCCAGGACUGUGCCUUGAAGACGCUCCACGUCCUCCCAAGGCAGUGGCUUUCUUUCCCGUGCUAACCUUUGGUACUUGGAGAGUGGUUAUCCCUGUCCUGUUCGUUUUACUCAUGUCGAAUCGUACAGGGUCAUCCACUUUUUCAGUAUCAAGAGCGCAGACCGUAGAGUUCGAUUUCCUGUGUUUGGAUCCUGCCUCUGACACUUACUAACCGGGCAACCUUGGGCAAGGAUAUUUCAUCGUGCCGUGCCUGCUGUGUCGUGUGGAAGGGGGGCCGGAGGGCUGUGGGGGGCUGGGUGAGUUAAGACUUGUACAUGGCUUAGAGCAGAGUUAUAGUCGAGACACUGUGUGCUAGGAAAUGCUUGGUAAUGGUGAUGCAAUUACCGAAAUUCCUCUUUGGCAUUUUGGAACGGUGUUGAGAUGUGGGCAGCAGAUCGCCCUCAGGUAUGUGUGGGGAUGCUCGAGCCCACUGUGUUCAGUGAGGGUGGCCAAGGCUUUGGAAGUGCAGCCACUAAGCCCUUCUCCUAAUGCCAUCCGGAAAAGCAGGGUACAGUGGGGCCCUCGGCUGUGACCGUGGGCCACCAAGAGCGUUGGCUCCAGGGAAGGCGGACAGUCCUUGGCUCUCUGCCCGAGCCGCCCUCUGCAGGAUGCUAGGGCGUGGUCACCAAGCAGAGCGAGCAGCAGUUCAGUUCUGCCUCCCCGGCACCUGGAGACACAUGGUCCGUGAUGCAUGUGUGUGUGUGUGUGUGUGUGUGUGUGCUCAGCUUGGCUGAGUUGCAGUCCCUGUCCAUUCUUGAACUGAAGACCUGGGGGUGCCAGUGUUCCUGUCCACGUCGCUAUCUCAUACUUGAGGAGAAAUUAUCCUUGGUGUGUUCACUUUAUUUGGGAUGAAUCAUACAAGGACAAUUUCUUUUUGAGUAUCAAAUCCUGCCUCGGCGGACUUCCUGAACCCCAUGACGAGUUCCAUAGAGAUGCGUGUAUCAACCCUUUGGGGUCUCCUGCCUGGCUGUGGGCUGAGAGCUUGCAGGGACUCGUGCUGGGGGACCACUGCUCGAACCUUCAGGAACUAGCGGCAGGGCCAAGCUUGGCCAGGGGCCACCGGGCUCCCUGGUACUGUCUUGACCUGCGUUGGUCAUGGGUGUGUGUGAUGAGUGACCCAGCAUUCAAGGCUCAUCAGAUCCUGCUUCUUGAAAUCACUGCUUGGACAUGAAGGCAACUUUAGGAUCAAGUCACUGCUGUCAGCUCCCCUGUCCCCUGCCUGAGGACGUGAGCAACCCCCGAGUAGGCGGCCGACUCUGUGUGAAACUGACCCACUAACCGUCAUUGUUUGGACUACCCAGGAAGAACCUUCUGGAAAGGACACUGACCUUGGAGACGAGGCCAAGUUCUUCUGGAUGGCACAGUUCAUUGAUGCUUAAAGAAUGGUUGUCCGUAGUAUGGUCUCUGUAUUUAUGGUGAUUAAUAUCAGAUAGCCAUUGUUUUAGUAUCCAAACGUCCAGAUGUGCUUCACGGUUUUUCUUGAGGAUGGUGCUAACUUCAGCAAGAGGACACGGGGGCCUAACUUACCACAGAGCAUGUUUUUGCUGAUGAUCCCUGACAACUAAUUCAGUGACCUGGGAAUGCAAGCCUGCAGCAUGAUGCCCCUUGAACUAACACCAGUUUUGGGGCGGACAUACAGUUCGGGUGCUCAGGGCCGUUUGGAAGAUGCUGGUAAUGAUUCAUCUGUCUUUCUCUUUUUGUUACUCAAUCUCAGCCAUGAGGAAUUCCUGGACGAGAGACUGCUGUCAAGCAUCUCUCUAGGCAGCUGGAAGAUGGACUGGGUCAUUUGGUUUUCCCGCCCCCUGAUCUUUGGCAUAAAUCUGAUCAUGAAGAUGUCUUAGAGAAGAUGCAAAAUUAAGGAAAUCACAGUCCAUUUCCUGCCACUGCUACUAAGGAGCGAUCUACUGAAUGUCCAUCUUAUGGCUCUGUGCCUGUUAUUGGAACCACUUCGUCUUAGAGACUCUCCCAUGAGACAUGUUAUUGUUUAGUUGCUAAGUCGUGUCUGACUCUUUGUGACCCCACGGACUGCAGCACCCCAGGUUCCUCUGUUCUCCACUAUCUCCUGGUGUUUGCUCAAUGCUGUCUAACCAUCUCAUCCUCUGUCACCCCCUUCUCCUUUUGCCUUCAUUCUUUCCCAGUGUCAGGGGAUUUUCCAGUGAGUCAGCCCUUUGCAUCAGGGGGCCAAAGUAUUGGAGCUUCAGCAUCAGUCCUUCCAAUGAAUAUUCAGGGUUGAUUCCUUUAGGAUUGGCUGGUUUGAUCUCUUUGCAGUCCAAGGGAACACAGACCCUGGGAUAAGACAUUGUGGUCAAUGGCACCUCUGGGGUGUAUGUGCGUGCACGUGUGUGUGUGUGUGUGUGUGCUUGUGAACUGUCAGCUAGAGGGGUGUUCCUCAAACUCUAAUAUGCUUCUCAGAUUUUCAUCACCUAGGGAUCUUGUUAAAAGGCAGAUUCUGAUUCAGGGACCAAGAUUCUGCAUUUUUAGCAAGUUCCCAAGUGAUGCUAAUGCUUCUGGUCGGUGGACAACACUCGGAGCAGCUCGGGGCUGGAGAGGAUGUGCUUUCUUUGUGAUGUGUGUCCCCUGUGCCCCACCUUCCAUAUCACGAGAACACUUCCCAGGCCAACACACCGCUCUUCUGUUCGUGCGCAAUGGUUAUCAGCCCCCGGCUCUCUUAUGCAUACAUGUCAUGAGGUGACUCUCCCUUAGAGUCAAAUUCCACCUCCCAGGGCUUCCUGGAUACAAGACCCUCGCCGAGGAGAGGCCACCAGUGUCAAGGCUCAUCAGGCACUGGACCAUCAGCGGCAUUGAUGCCUGGGACUACGAAAUUCUGGAAUCACCCAUUUCCAGUCAGUCCGAAGCAGCAAUCCUGGGCCAAGGCCAUCUUUUGGGGACCCCCUCUCUUGGGGAUCCGUGAUAUGCUUCGUUUUAUCAGAAAAGGUAUUAUCACGAUGGCUUUGCAUCACCUGUGACACACAUUCCUUGGGCGUGUUCUUGGCAUCAGAUCCCAUCUCCCAGGAAUCCCCGAAGGAGCUUGCAUUGCCACUGUUGUUGUCUUUGUUGUUACUGUCGCUGUUUUUAGGAUCGAACCUGCUUUGGGAGUGUCUCUGAGCUCGGUUCCAGCUCUGGGGUGUCGAGGCCAAGUGCAAGCCCUGGGGCCCAGGUAUGGGGGAUAUAUGAUUGAUGCCCGCCUGUGGGCUUUCUUUACAGGAUCUGAGUUCCCAGCUCCCUGAGCCUUGGAUUCAGGUCUUCCUGAGAAGAACCUUCCGGAGCCAGAGACCGCCGACACUGGGGAAGAGGCCAUGGUUUUCAUUUCAGAACUGUUCAGGGAUAUUUGAGGAGAGGUUAUCCGUGUUAUGUUCGCUUGGCUCAUCAUGAAUAAUACAUGGUUAACCUCUCUUUGAAUAUCAAACUCUGCCUCGAGGGCCGCCCGCACAGGAGACGUGAGAGCGUGUGCCUGGUGUGAGCUGUGACCCCGGGGCCAGCCGUGAUGUGGAAGGCAUGCUUCCUGGAAGGGAGGCCGGCUGGGGGAGGGGCCCAGGCUUGCUUUGCAGUGGUUUUGCAGUGAACUUGGUGUGUUUCUCUGAUUUGGACAAGGUCGCCCCCACUUUCAGUCCAGCCUGCCUGGGGGUGAGGGGCUGAGAUAGGGCCCCUGAGUCCGUGUUCCUGCAGGGCUGGUCAGUGGGGGCCUGAUGGCUGAGCUUCGCCCACAGUGAGAGCUCUCCCCAGCCCUGACUGUCCAGACCCAGACUUGCCCUUUGCAGAGCAGCUUCCUGGAGGCUACACCGUCCCCUGUGGAGAGUGUGUGCUUUCUGCUCCCCCGGGACCUUCCAGGAGAGGUCACUCCCUUCCCGAAGACUCCUCUGAGGGCCAUCUGUUUUCAAGGGUCAGGUCCCACCCAGACCAGCUCCCCAGACACACAUGGUCGCAUCUGUCUCCCCAGGUGUGCGAAAGGCAGGCCCACCUCUGCUCGCUGUGUUGACCUCCCAGGUCCACUUCCCGUCCAGGCAGAUUUCCCCGAGGCGCUGCUGGCAGAGCCUGCAGGGUUCCCGUCCCCCCACUUGGCACACAAAGAGGCUGGUGGGGCCGCAGCCCCUUCCCUUGGGAGGAGGACUGCCCAGCCGACAUCUCCACCUCUGCAGCUCGCACGCAGUGCUCUCUCUGAGUCUGGAUCCCCCCUGCUUAUGGGGAUAGGAGGCUGACCCGGACCCCUCAUUUAGUGGAGGAUGGGGGCCCCCAUGACCCGCUACCUCCAGAGUCUUGACCGUGUGAACCUCCGGGGGCUCCCGAGAAGCCCUGUGCUCCGGUCUCUGCAGCUUUCCUGGCCAGCCUGGCAGAGUCUUUCACGGCUUCAGUCCAGCACCCACUGGUGAUCCCAGCUUCCCAGUAAGAGAGCUGUCCACCCCUCAGGUACGUCACUGCAGAACUGCCCCCCAGGGUGUGCCAGGAGGAUGGACACAGCCCCCGUCCAUGAACCCGAGAAUGCCUUCCACACUCAGUGACGCCCAGGAGUGACCCAAGCUUGGAAGACGGGAUGCCGACGCUGUCAUCCGCGUCAGUGCGGGCUCCACUGGGCGCUCAUCUGUCGUCUGUGGUGGAGGUUCUGGUACCAUGGAAGACUGCGUUGUGGGGCUCCACCUUCAGGCGGGGAUAUAUGGUGUCCCCCUCACUGGGUCCACAGGUGGCCUGUGAGGACCCCUGGGCCCUCAGAACAGAAUCGUCCAUAAGGGAUUUUGGGGGCCAGGCCUUUUUGGGACUCAGGUCCACCCCAUCUCGCUCGAAGAGAGAGUUUAGUCUGGGAGUGUGGUCUUUAUGGUUGACUAUUCCUUCAGCUCUGGUUAUCCCUACUGUGUCCAGGAUGAGUUCCUGGAGGCCACCUCUGAUCCAGAGAAAGGUUAUGCCUCUUGGUACCAAUCCUCAGUCUAGGGAGAGCUAAUGUGCCCCUGACUGUUGGCAUCUUCAUCUGGGUACACGAGGAGGCACCUGCUCAGGUGCGGUCCACGGCAGGGUCCCUCUUCACUGCUUGCUCGGUCAUAAGUGUGGAGCCCGGUCACACCCUGCCUAGACCAGAUUCCACCUUCAGGAAGGAAGUACCUCCCAUGACCCUUGAAAGAAUGGCCCGUCUCAGACCCUGGGUCUUUGUUAGGAUGAAGCCCCCCCGUCCCCCAGCUGGAGCAUUGAGGUCUUAAAUGCUUAGCCCCCAGGGCUGAGCAAAGGCGGGGUUCACGGUCAUGUCAUCACAGCCUGUCUGGCUGAUCACAUCCAAGCUGCUGUUUUGCAGGACAAGCUCCCACCUGGAGAGGUGCUCCACCAGGACGCCAGCCUGAGGGCAGGGCAUGGUCCGUGAUAGGGGAGUGGAUGGUUGAUCAGAGAACAUACAUUUUGUCAAUGAUGUAUGUC
ensembl:lncRNA